rnacentral:lncRNA from 1 species
GCUCUUACCCUGCUAAGCCAUCUCGCCAGCCCUCCAUAUUUUUUUAAAAAGGUAAAAAAUGAAUCACAUUUAUAUGUGCAUUCACAUAUACACAUAUUAUAUAUAAUCUAAUAUACAGUAUAUAUGUAAUAUAUUUUAUAUGUAUAGCACUCUCAGGUACCAUUGUAUUCUCUAGACUGAUGAUGCUGCACUAGGUUAGAAGGUUACAAUUAUCAUUCUUAAUGUUUAGCCUCCCCUAAGAUCCAUUCUGUAGUUUGUAUUCUAAUUAUUCCUUUGCUGUUUAAAAGUAAGAAAGAAUACCAGGUGUGAUGCUGUUCACCUGUAAUCCAAGCAGAGACAGGAAGAUUGUCACUGUUCAAGGGCAUCAUUCUGUGCGUACCUGCCAGACUCCAUAGGGAGACAUUUCUCAGAAAGGGAAGGAAAUUGAAUAACACUGUCUGUUCAGAUAAAUGUAUUUGGAGUUUUUUUGCUUACAUAAUUUGUCAAAUAAACUUUCCUGCAUUGUUUGAAGAACUUUAUAAAUCCUUGGUACAGCUUGAUAAGCACUCCUUUGUUACUUCACUGCCAUGGAGUCGAGCACUGGCAGUGUAGACCAGCCAUCCAGCUCUGCCCUGAGAUCACAGCUGUGUAUCCUAAUUAGGAAGCUUUGGGCUGGCUCUUGGUAAAUACCUUAAGCUGAAAACCCAGGUCUGACUGAUAUCUAGUGCUUCAUACCUGAAUAUUGUUGGGCUUGUCUAUAAUCCACUCAGGAUCAGCAGAGCAAGCAGUGAGAGCCACCUCAAGUACAUAGAGAGCUAUACCUGCCUGACCUGUCUUUUAAGAAGGGGGGGCAGUAGGGAGGGAGGGAGGAUGGUAAUUUUUAAACACCAAGAGGUGUUCAUGGUAAAGUUAAGAACUAGCCUUGUGUCAAAGGACUGGGAUUGUAGGCAUGGGCUGCCACAGCUGGCCUGAACUCAGUUUUCAGGAUGUUUUUUAAGAAAAAAAAAAGUGAAACAGUCAUUAAGACAAUCAGGAGGUUCAGGAGUAUUUUUAAAGUUUUCUUUAAUACCAUCACUCGAGAGGCAUAGGCAGUUUGAAAAGUAUAAAACUGAAAGAUUAGACUUAAGAGCCCAAGGCUUGGUUACUGUCUUCAUAGAGCACUUGUCCAGCACAGUCCUGCUCUUUCCAGUCUCUUUUUUUUUUUGACCCACGAAAAUUUUCCCCAAGAAAAAGUUAGAUGGCCCCAUCUAUAUACACAUACAAUAUAUACACAUACAAUAGGUAUCUGUGAGAAAUGUGAAAAUGCCAAGCUGAACCUUUCUCUGGGUAGUAAGAAAGUUUAUUGGGGAUCAAAUCACAAAGACUGUCUCGGGAACAGAAAACAGCAACUGGGCAGCAAAGUCCUCGUGUUUUAUAAGAUAGUCGGCAAGGUGCAGGCUACUUUGAUUAAUUUAAUUAAUUAAUUAAUUAAUUGAGCCCGAGAUGGUCUUUACCUGAGGUAGAUGACCGUUAUGGGUAGGGGAGAUAAGGAAGGUAGUGCUUUUCCUGGUAAGCAGGAUUUUGAGACUCCCGAGGGAUUAUGUUUAGGCUUUUGUUCACAAUAUUGUCUCCAGCACUGCUAUUUUAUAAGCCCACUUUGAACCAAACAGUAUAUUAACCCAACAUUUACUGAUAAUCAUAAAGAAAUUCACUUUAAAAUUCUCUUCCAUCCAGGUUGUUAGUGAUGCUCACCUUUAAUUCCAGCACUUCAGUGAUGAAGGCAGGCAGAUCUCUUGGUUCAAAGCCAGCCUGGUCUACAGAGUGAAUUCCAGGACAGCCAGCUAUUGCUAUACAGAGAAAUUCAGUCUUUAAACACACACACACAAAUGAAUCAGAGAUGGCAUAGUACUUAGCACUUUGUGAUCCUGCAGAGGACUCCAGUUUCAGCGAAUCCAUUACCCGAUUCUGGCCUCUACAAGCACCAACCAUACACGUGACAACUGAACUCAUACAAGCAAAACACAUAUAAAAUAAACCCUUUUUUUUGUUUGUUUUCUUUUGUCUGAUAUGACUGUAUGAGUGCAGGUGACCAUGUGCAUGUGUGGAGAUGAGGCUGAGAUGUGACUUCUCUUCUUCCACCAUGGACUCCAUGACUGCAGACCUUCUUACCUAUACAGCCAGGGCUGUUAUUAAACAAAUAAGAUAAAAUCAGAUCUGAUAAUCAAAAUCUUUUUUUUUUUUUUAAAUUUAGACAGUAGUAAAGAACCUCUCAGAGGGGAUUUCCUGAAUUUACAGUUUAUUUAUUUAUUUUUAUUUCUGUGUAUUCACAGGUGCUUGCAGGUACCUGACAAUACCUCAGAGGCCAUAGAUCCUCUCCAGCUGCAGAUAUUGGUUCUGGGGACUGAACCCAGGUUCUCUUUAGAGAAAACAGGCAAUGCUAUUAACUGCUGAGGUUUUGUUUGGUUUUGUUUUGGUUUUGUUUUUUGUUUUUUGGUCUUUCGAGACAGGGUUUCUCUGUCUCAACCCUGGCUGUCCUGGAACUCACUCUGUAGACCAGGCUGGCCUCAAACUCAGAAAUCCACCUGCCUCUGCCUCCCGAGUGCUGAGACUAAAGGCUUGCGUCACCACUGCCCGGCUAACUGCUGAGGUUUUUAAGUAUAGUUUUUAGAUUAACGUUUUUCUUUGUACUCAUUUAUUGAAAUGGGCUUGCACACAUACAUACUGAGGACAAAGGACAGUGUUGAAAAGUUGAUUCUUUCAACAGUAGAGUUCCCAGGGCUCUAUCUCAGAUGGUCAUUCUCUGUGGCAAGGGCUGUUAGCCAUUGAGCCAUCUUACCAGAUUUCAUUUAUUGUCAUUUGGCCUCAGGAAGAAAUUUGAUUGGCUUUGUUUCUUAUUCAUUUUCUCAUCACAGCCCAAAGAGCCGAUUAAUCCAAU